rnacentral:rRNA from 1 species
GACGAACGCUGGCGGCGUGCUUAACACAUGCAAGUCGAGCGGUAAGGCCCUUUCGGGGGUACACGAGCGGCGAACGGGUGAGUAACACGUGGGUGACCUGCCCUCAGCUCUGGGAUAAGCCCGGGAAACUGGGUCUAAUACCGGAUAUGACUCCAUGACGCAUGUUGUGGGGUGGAAAGCCUUGUGCGGCUGAGGAUGGGCCCGCGGCCUAUCAGCUUGUUGGUGGGGUGAUGGCCACCAAGGCGACGACGGGUAGCCGGCCUGAGAGGGC